GAUGAAGAACGUAGCGAAAUGCGAUACGUAAUGUGAAUUGCAGAAUUCAGUGAAUCAUCGAGUCUUUGAACGCACAUUGCGCCCCUCGGUAUUCCGAGGGGCAUGCCUGUUCGAGCGUCAUUAUAACCCUUCAAGCUCAGCUUGGUGUUGGGGCCUGCUGUAACUGGUAGCCCUUAAAAUCAGUGGCAGUGCUAUUAGGCUCUAAGCGUAGUAAUUCUUCUCGCUAUAGUGUGUAGUGAGCGCUUGCCAGAACCCCAAACUUUUAUAUGAUUGACCUCGGAUCAGGUAGGGAUACCCGCUGAACUUAAGCAUAUCAAUAAGCGGAGGA
rnacentral:misc_RNA from 1 species